CCGGGGAGGGGCAGGGGCAGAGGCUGAGGUACGGGGCUCGGCUGCGGCCGCCGGGGCGUUCGAGCACCCAGACGGACGGGAGAGAUGGUGGACGCGGAGAGGGAAAGGCUAACUCCUCUCUGCGCUGCGGGUAGUUGGUUUGGUCACCUCACGUCAGUUUGCAUCCUACUGUGACAGGAGUAAAUGCUUUUCUGAAAAGAUUCUUAGCAGUAACAGAGAGCAACUUAGAAUAGCUUGGAAUAAGUUGCAUGGCUCAAGACACUGACUACAACAAGAAAUUUUCUGAAGUUUAUGAGCCAGGUUUCCUAGUCUCAUCCUGUGAUUGCAUCACUGUAAGUCUAUCAAUUUAAUAUAAAUUCUUAAAAGUUAAGCUUCGUACACUGAACUGCUCAAAGGGUUGUGCUUCUGCAAUUUAUGUAUUUUUAAACAAUGCUUACGGUUACAUAAUAUAUUU